AAUGAACGUUGGCGGCGUGGAUUAGGCAUGCAAGUCGCGCGACAAGCCCCGCAAGGGGUGGAGGAGCGGCAAACGGGGUAGUAAUGCGUCGGAACGUACCCUCAGGUCGGGGAUAGCCAGGGGAAACUCUGGGUAAUACCCGAUGACCUCGCGAGAGCAAAGGUCCGCCGCCUGAGGAGCGGCCGACGUGGUAUCAGGUAGUUGGCGGGGUAAUGGCCCACCAAGCCUUAGACGCCUAGGGGGCGUGAGAGCGCGACCCCCACCACUGGGACUGAGAUACUGCCCAGACACCUACGGGUGGCUGCAGUCGAGAAUCUUCCGCAAUGGGCGCAAGCCUGACGGAGCGACGCCGCGUGCGGGAUGAAGGCCUUCGGGUUGUAAACCGCUGUCAGAGGGGAUGAAAGCCGCAAGGCUUGACAGAGCCUCAGAGGAAGCACGGGCUAAGUUCGUGCCAGCAGCCGCCGUAACAC
rnacentral:rRNA from 1 species